AGAGUUUGAUCCUGGCUCAGGAUGAACGCUGGCGGCGUGCCUAAUACAUGCAAGUCGAGCGAACGGACGAGAAGCUUGCUUCUCUGAUGUUAGCGGCGGACGGGUGAGUAACACGUGGAUAACCUACCUAUAAGACUGGGAUAACUUCGGGAAACCGGAGCUAAUACCGGAUAAUAUUUUGAACCGCAUGGUUCAAAAGUGAAAGACGGUCUUGCUGUCACUUAUAGAUGGAUCCGCGCUGCAUUAGCUAGUUGGUAAGGUAACGGCUUACCAAGGCAACGAUGCAUAGCCGACCUGAGAGGGUGAUCGGCCACACUGGAACUGAGACACGGUCCAGACUCCUACGGGAGGCAGCAGUAGGGAAUCUUCCGCAAUGGGCGAAAGCCUGACGGAGCAACGCCGCGUGAGUGAUGAAGGUCUUCGGAUCGUAAAACUCUGUUAUUAGGGAAGAACAUAUGUGUAAGUAACUGUGCACAUCUUGACGGUACCUAAUCAGAAAGCCACGGCUAACUACGUGCCAGCAGCCGCGGUAAUACGUAGGUGGCAAGCGUUAUCCGGAAUUAUUGGGCGUAAAGCGCGCGUAGGCGGUUUUUUAAGUCUGAUGUGAAAGCCCACGGCUCAACCGUGGAGGGUCAUUGGAAACUGGAAAACUUGAGUGCAGAAGAGGAAAGUGGAAUUCCAUGUGUAGCGGUGAAAUGCGCAGAGAUAUGGAGGAACACCAGUGGCGAAGGCGACUUUCUGGUCUGUAACUGACGCUGAUGUGCGAAAGCGUGGGGAUCAAACAGGAUUAGAUACCCUGGUAGUCCACGCCGUAAACGAUGAGUGCUAAGUGUUAGGGGGUUUCCGCCCCUUAGUGCUGCAGCUAACGCAUUAAGCACUCCGCCUGGGGAGUACGACCGCAAGGUUGAAACUCAAAGGAAUUGACGGGGACCCGCACAAGCGGUGGAGCAUGUGGUUUAAUUCGAAGCAACGCGAAGAACCUUACCAAAUCUUGACAUCCUUUGACAACUCUAGAGAUAGAGCCUUCCCCUUCGGGGGACAAAGUGACAGGUGGUGCAUGGUUGUCGUCAGCUCGUGUCGUGAGAUGUUGGGUUAAGUCCCGCAACGAGCGCAACCCUUAAGCUUAGUUGCCAUCAUUAAGUUGGGCACUCUAAGUUGACUGCCGGUGACAAACCGGAGGAAGGUGGGGAUGACGUCAAAUCAUCAUGCCCCUUAUGAUUUGGGCUACACACGUGCUACAAUGGACAAUACAAAGGGCAGCGAAACCGCGAGGUCAAGCAAAUCCCAUAAAGUUGUUCUCAGUUCGGAUUGUAGUCUGCAACUCGACUACAUGAAGCUGGAAUCGCUAGUAAUCGUAGAUCAGCAUGCUACGGUGAAUACGUUCCUGGGUCUUGUACACACCGCCCGUCACACCACGAGAGUUUGUAACACCCGAAGCCGGUGGAGUAACCUUUUAGGAGCUAGCCGUCGAAGGUGGGACAAAUGAUUGGGGUGAAGUCGUAACAAGGUAGCCGUAUCGGAAGGUGCGGCUGGAUCACCU
rnacentral:rRNA from 11 species